GUAAGAUCAAUUAUACCUAUGUUAUUCGUGACAAAAGUUUGAUUUGGUCUUGGCUGUAGGGACCCUACAUGUGAUGCAGGGCAGUGCUGCACUACCUGUCCUAUUCAGUGGUCUCCAGAACAUCUGUUAGGAGCCUUCUCCAAGGUGAGCUGAGCCCUCCAUACUUUGUCCUCUUUCCAGGGAUGCAAAAAACAACACAUUGCUUCUCCUUGCAUUAUGAUGGCCCUUUAUGUAUUCCAGGAUUGUUGCUUUGCCCUUUCUCAGUCUUUUCAUCUCCUGAACAGCCUCCAUUUGUUCAACCUUCCCUCAGAGGUCAUGUUUUUGGGAUCAUUCCUGCUGGGCUCUCCUGUGGACUCUCUCUAGUAUUUGUGUAUUUUAUCCAGUGACUAUUGAUACAAAAUGCAGUGAUGAAAAAAGUUGCUUUUGCUGCCUGUGGAUGGUCCAAGUUGCAGAGAGAUCCAUGUGAUCCAGGGUUUCUCCACAGUUGUCUUGGCCCCCUGUCCUCUGCGUAAUGCAUGUGGUGAGGGAUUCAUACACACAUUUCACUUGCAACAACAACAAAUGCAGAGAAGGGGAACAUUUGUGAACAUCGUCUGACAUUUAAACAAGAAAGAAGUGAAAGGAUGCUUUACAGGGAGACUAUUUAUGGUAACAUGCUGGAAAAAUAUAUAUAUAUAUAUUCUCCUGGCAGCCAAUCAGUCUUGCAAAAAUUUAUUCCCCUCUGCUUGGGGAAGGCCUCAGGCAAGGUCAAUGGUGACCAGAAAGCAAAAAAAUGUUGAGUUUUGGAAAGAGAUCAUACUGUAGCAAAUGGCUCUUGCAGCCCCCAGACUCCUGCUGCUCCUUGGUGGAGGAGAAAGUGAGGAUCCUUUCCCUUCCCCUGGCUACAAGACCUUGUCCCAAGUCCUGCCAUGAAGCAAGGUCUGGCAUGGGGCAAGGAGUCCGGUUCACUGUGUUCCCUGGGACAGUAAAGCUAUGGGUGCAGAGGGACAACUGGAGCAUGGAACAGCACCCUGAUGCAGGAUGCCAGCCAGUUCGCAAAGGCUAUGAGAAAUAUUUUAGUUUUGUUCUAAGAGCACUUGCUUCCUGGUUACCCUCUGGUGGGACCUGCAGCUCUUCAUGACAAGAUUUAGGAGAUGGAGUCAGUCGGGGAGGACAGGCUGAGGUUUGGGUGCUAGCUUUCACAUGUGUGCAGACAAUGGCUGAUGACCUGUCUGUUGGAAGGGCACACACCUAUAAGGACUGUGGCAAAUGUGAUGGAAAAAAAACAGUUUGAGGAAAACACUAUGUCCUUGUGGCAAUGCCAAGGACAGAAAAUGGACAAAAUUAGUUCUUAAAAAAAUUGCAGGCUCUGAUUUAUUUUCAAAUGUCAAAGGAGAUCUCAGGAAGUCCUGUGCAUUUUCUUCCUCCCUUGUUAUGCUGUAACAGUGGAUAGAAGCUGAGAUUAAAAAUGUUGCCCACAAGCAACACAGUUGUACAAUAAGGAAACUUACACUGUAAGUUAACAGAGUCAUGUUAUUUCCCAUUUUAUGCCCAACAUAAUUUGAUGCUAACCUUGUGGCAAGCAUGCAGUAAUUCUAUAAGCAGAUCCACUGCUCUCCAGAGGCUCCUUUAAAGUGAAAUAACUCCGUUUUUAAGGUUCUGUAUGUACAGGAAACAGGAAAGAAGCUGCAAGCAUUUCUCACAAAAAAAGGGAGGAAUUUUAUUUUUACUAGGAUAAAAUAUAUUGCAGAUUGCUCAUUUGUUUACUUGUUUUUUAAAAAGCAUUGAAUGCUGAAGGCACAUCCAAUAUGUCUAUAUAGCAAUGUGGUGUAGUCUGCAAGACCUUUCAGUGGUUGAAGAUGACACCAAGCUGAGCAGUGCAGUCGAUACACUGGAAGGAAGGGAAGCUAUCCAGAGGAACCUGGAUGGGCUGGAGAAGUGGGCUCAUGAGAACGGUAUGAGGUUCAGUAAGGCCAAGUGCAGGGCGCUGUACUGGGGCUGGGGCAAUCCCAGGUAUUUAUACAGACUGGGGGAAGAUCUCCUUGAGAGCAGCCCUGCAGAGAAGGACUUGGGAGUCCUGAUGGACAAGAAGCUGGACAUGAGCCAGGAGUGUGUGCUUGCAGCCCAGAAGGCCAACUAUGAUAUGGGCUGUAUUAAAAGAGGAGUGGCCAGCAAGGAGAGGGAGGUGAUUGUCCCCCUACUACUCAUUGUACCCCUCUACUUGGCCCCAUCUGGAGUACUGUGUCCAGGCCCAGGGCCCCCAGCACAAGUAAGAUGUGGAGCAGAUCCAGAGGAGGGCCACUAAGAUGAUCAGAGGGCUGGAGCACCUCUCCUAUGAAGAAAGGUUGAGGGAACUGGGCUUGUUUAGCUUGGAGGAGGGAAGGUUCCAGGGAGACCUCAUUGUGGCCUUCCAAUACUUGAAGGGAGCAUAUAAACAGGAGGGGGAAUGACCGUUUACGUGGGUGGAUAGUGACAGGACAAGGGGGAAUGGUUUUAAACUGAGACAGAGAGGCUUAGGUUAGAUAUUAGGAGGAAGUUUUUGACACACUGGAACAGGUUGCUCAAGGACGUUGUGGAUGGCAUUCAAGGCCGGGCUGGAUGUGUCUCUGGGCAGCCUGGUCUAGUAGUUGGCGACCCUGCCUAUGGCAAGAGGGUUAAAACUAGAUGAUCAUUAUGUUUUUUUUCAACCCAGGCCAUUCAGUGAUUCUAUGACUGUGUAGUUCUAUGAUUCUAUGAUUCUAUGAACGUGGCAGACACUGUCCAGAAGCAAUUCUUAUAUUUCAUAUUUCUCUCUCUGCCAUUGAUUUUAUUCUAUAUUGCUUUAUACCUUUUAUUCUGUCUGAAUUGAUUUAAUAGCAUUUUGUCUAUUUGCUUAAAACUGAACAGUAUGAGAAACAUGAAGGAAAAAUAAAUUUUUAACUUGGAGCAUUUCAGAUAAUGGCUUUUGAGAUGCCAUGAGUCUGUAUUUUGUGUACUCUCUGCAUCGCACAGAAAAGAUGUAAAGAAAGUCUGAUACGGGUCCCAGGGUAGACCGAAGUUGCACAUCUCAUGGUGCUCAGAAACUCUAUCCCCCUUUGCUCCUAGGGCAAACUAGGGCAAACUUGAGCUGCAAACUUUUCUUCCCCAGGCUACAGUAGUGCCAGGGCUUUUAGAGUCAGGUUCUGACCAGAGAAGGCGACCAAGGCGGCACAUAGCACUAGGUCUGGUAUCUUUUACAAUGAGAGUGCAUUCUUGUCACGGGGCAUGCAGUAGGUGUUGAGGAGGGGCUCAGGCAGGUGGUUGGUGGCAGCCACAUUCCCUUGGGGCUGCCCUGCAGCGAAGCUCUGGCUCUAGCAUGGGCUCUGUCUUUCAGCAACAGAGCAUUAACUUGUCACCCUCAGCCUCACUCUUUCCUGUGGUUUAAUCUGGAGCUGGGUUUGAAACACAAAGGGAAUCUUGUGUUUCAUGUUCUUCUCCCUAGUUGCCUCCCUCACUGCUGUUGCUUAUUUAUAGAGAGAUUGCUGCAGGUGAUACCUAGAAAUUGCUUACAGUCUUUAGUCUCUAAAGUAUGUUUCAAAUGGUGCUGCCUCACUGCUAUAUCUUGGCAAUGCUUACUUUGUAUUUUCCCCCAUGUCUAUCCUGCAGUUCACUUACAAAAGGUAAAUGAAUUUAUAGGGUAUCCCUCUGAAUGGAGGGACAGUAAUUUAGCAUAAUACAAAGCAUAAUUCAGGUUGGGUAUUAAGAAAAACUUCAUAAAGAGUGGUUGGGCAUUGAAACAAGCUACGGAGGGAGUUGGUGGAUUCACCGUCCCUGGGGUGUAUGACAUCUAUGUAGAUGUGAUACUGAGGAAUAUGGUUUACUGGGAAACAAUGGUGGUAGGUGGAUGGUUGGAUUAGAUGAUCUUAGAGGUCUCUUCCAACCUUAGUGAUUCUAUGAGUCUAUGAUUCUAUGAAGCAUCAGUGUGUGCAACCUGAAUCUGUACAGCUACAAAAUGACCUCACGUUCUGUAUGUAUUGCAAAAGUGUUUGAUUUGCUUUUCUAAUUGUUUCUCCUUUAUUCUUUAGAUCAAGAGACGCUUCUAAAAGUAAAGUUUCAAAACAAAAAUGUCAAAAAGUUUCAAUCUGAAAUUGCCAAAAGAAAAUUAUUUGAAUGUAUGUAAUUUCUUUCCUCUUCUGUUCUCUUCUUUGAAUCCAGACUACAUGGGAAGUCAGGCUAAGUUUUGUACUAGUUCAUAGAGCCAAAGAAUGGUUCUACCACAUCACAAAACAUUGCAGUAGUCUGAAAAAAUUUCUCAGCUACACCCAUGCAGCAUUGUGUUCAUUGCUGAUGAAUUUCUCAAAGCUGCCUUGACAAAUUCUAUUGUUAUUCAUUAUUUACAUUAGCGCCUGUGAGGUUAUAGGUUUUGUCUGGCAAAAUAGUAAAAAACAGUAAAUAUAGCCUUUGUCUCUGAAACUUCACCAUUUUCAGCAUCCAUGAGGGAUUUUGAUGCAUGAAAUAACUCAGUUUUGCUGCUCUGUCUGGAGUAGCUCAUUAGUUAAUUCCUUGAGUGAUGUGCGUAAAAUGGUGCAGACUAUGGAUGGGGCUGCAGGCAUGGCUCCUGAGGAACCACCACAUAAUAUUUAACAGAUUUAGAUCUCCUCACUAUCAUAGUAUCUCCAGUCUCAAGUAGUCACAUGAAAGACAAAAUGAAUGAGCUAUAAGAAAUUCACACCAUGCAGCAUUGCUAUAAGUAAUAAAUCUCCUGCGGAAAAGGAAUUUGUAUAGAAAUAAUAAAAGUAUCAGAUGCUAAGAAGAAGUAAAACCAGCUGGGUAAUAUAAAAGAAAAUCUUUAUCCUCAUUUCACUGGUGAAAACUAAUUCAAACAAAAUCCAUUACAUAAAUCAUACACUUGAAAUUAUUUACAUAAAAACAGAUGGAGAGAGUUCCUACUGUGAUGAUGAUGUUUUGGCAAAGUAUGUCUUCCACAGAGCAACUAUCUUUCUGCAAACAAUGGUGUUUGUUCUGCUUUCGUCAGGGUGUAAACCUCUGGCAACCCUUGAAUUCUGUGGGGGCUCAUGUACAAAGCAGGGCACAGCCUGUUUCACUGCCAUUUUUGUGGCUACAGAAAAGUGAGGCUCUAAAGAAAAACUGUACUUCAUGCUGCCCGUGUUCUGGGGCUGCUGCAGCACAUGCUGUCUGUUUUACAGGAACAGAAUAAUUCCACCAUCUCCCUGGGCAGCCUGUUCCCACACCUCACCACUCUUUCUGAGAAGUUGUUCAUCAUGUAACAAAGACAUUUUUGAUGACUAUUUGAAAAGACUAAGUAAGUUAGGCAGACCACAUUGGGAAUGGGAAUUGAAACACACUGAACCACAUUGGGAAGUGAAAAACAUACUUCUGCGUAUACCAAUGCAGAGACAAGGUGCUGACCCCUUUAUACAGAUGAUCCCAUGUGCUCUUCAGCUCAUAAACGAGGUUCAGCGUGCAGGGUUUGGAACUCUUUGCCUUUUCCUGAUUGCUCUCCCUCUUCUUAGAAGAAAUAUCAGUGCAAUUUCCACCUCAGUUCUUGGUGUUUCUAGCUCAUUGCAUGACCUCCCUUCCAACAGCUCCACUACUCCCAUGCUACUUCUUCAAUUGCUGUUAAAAACAGCUUCAUGUUCAAAACAUACUAUUCCUGUCAAAAUAUUAAUUUCUUCCACAUGAUGGAAAAAUAUAAGCUGUCCCUUUAAAAAUGCAUCAUAAAAAUGAACGUUCAUGAAAUAUGAGUCAAGUUUCCAUAUACCUUAAUCAAAUUCUAGAGGGUCUCUAGGGGUUGGGACCUUCCGUGCACCUGUGCAAUGUGAAGUUUGUUCCAGUUCUGAUUGCAAGUAUUUCAUAGUAUAGUAUAGUAUUGCUUCCUUCAUUUUUGCCAUUGAAAACCCCAAGAUGCUUUCUGCAGGCUGAAGGUGCCAUUUUUGGGGGUGACAGUGAUAAGCCGUAGAGAUGGUGUGGCAUACUAACUAUCAGACUUGGAACCAGCAGAGUCCUCAAGCCAAAUAUCAGUCUUGAAAUCCCCAGAACAAAAUGUACCUGCCUUUCUCAUUCCCUGUUUUUAUUCCACAGGGAAAUAGACAGGACCAGGUUUGCAUGAGCUAUAGAGUUUGCCUGUAAAAGCAAUACUGUGAUUGGGUAUCACAGUUUUUAACAUGCUUUUUUUUUUUCUUUCCUUUUUUUUUUUUUGUUAAUGAAUAAACUAAUUCCUGAACUUGCUCAUUUUUCCCUCCUUUCUUCUCUUCUGCUCCCCACCAUUACCACUGCCCAUGCUGUUGGGUCUGCACAUGACAUUUAUGGUCGUACACAUGGUUCGUACAGACCUUUCUUCCCAUUCAGAGCACCUUUACCCAUACCUACAUUUCCCAUCAAGAAGCUCAUUAAUUUUGUGCUCUUUGCUCUACCUUGGUAUUCCCAGUGAGCUUGUCUCUGCAGCCAGGGAACUUCCUUUCUCUGGGGCCCUGGGAGUCUUUUUGGAGCUGCUCUAGCAGGGCAUUUCCAUGGAAGGCUUCGUCUGGUGCACUGGAUUCCUACUACCAUUUCCCUGGGGAGGAUUCCACAGACUAAUAGACCUCAUUAUUAGAGCAUUUUUCCUAAUUUUCUGCCUAAAAUUACCUUUAUUUUUUGCUGUCUCAGGAAAACUUCUUGGUUGUGUGUGUCAAAUGAAAGAGAACAUCAAUAUUUUUAGCAUUUGUUAAUAGCCAAAUGCUGAUAAAGACAACUGGUGCCUUUUAAAUCAAGCAUCUGCUGUCAACAGUCAUCUGAGUCUUAGAAUUUAAAAAAAAAAAAAAAAAAAGGCUUUGCUGAUACUUCAGAUGGGUUUCAUUUCACAUUGCAAAGUUGCCAAGGUCACGUGGAAAGGGGACUUGUUGUAGAAUUUAGCAUUUUUACACACUUGGAACAGUGUUUGAGGAAAGGAAAGAGGGAGAGGCAUAAACUGGGGACUGGGCCACAGAUGUCUGCUGGGGUCCACAAAGUGUGUGUGCAUCAUCUGUGAGCUAUUAAGCUCUCAUAGCUUUUGCCAUCUAAUAUCCUUGUUCAGGAAUGUACAUACUCCAAAAUAAAUUAGAUGGGGAUAUGGUAUCUUGUAUCUGUUUUAACUCAUCUGUCUCUGCAGAAGGAAAUUCACCAGUCCUGGUGUUCACAUCCUCCCAGCUGCCCAGAGGCAGUGACAAGAGCAUCUGAAGCAGCAUCCACCGCUGUGUAGAGGGAGAGAUGAGUGGUCCUGAUUGCUGGGUGAAAGGGACAGGCAUGCAGCUACACCAUGGUCCAGCAGACACAGCCCAGGAGUCCACAGUAAGUGAUUCUGCAGGGGCUCUAGAAACACAAGCAGCUGCUGAGGGUCCUCCAGAGGAUGAAGAAAAAUCCUGAGAUGCUGAAGGAAGCUUUGAUGCAGAGGAUCUGCUGAUGGAUGCAUUAAUACAAGUGGAAAUAAGGCCUGUUAAAUCUUGCCUGAGCAGUUUUGGUAAGUGGGUGCUCUUCCCCUUGGAACGCAUGCAGAAGCAUCCUCUCUGUGGGGAAGGGUGAUCACAAAGAAAGCCACUGUUUCUGGCACUGCUCACCAAGGUUUAUUAGUGUGUAUCCUUUGAGGGCUGUGAACAUCUGCAGAGGACUGGAACUGCACAGCUGAGCACAUGGUCUCAAACCUGAUGUUUCCACGGGCUAAACAGGACAAGCGGUGAGCAGAUACCAAAGUUUUGAGUGCCACUGUCACAUGCUUACCUGCUUUUCCAAAAGACCAUGUCUUGCAAAGUCAGGAUGGAAAAUGCAGGAGUAUUUUGGCUUCUGGAAGCAUUUUUCUCCCUUGAGAGCUUUUCACCUUAAGCUACUCAUUCAGUAACUGGAGGACUGGCAGAGGCUGCCCAGAGUACUCUGUUCUGGAUGGCCCUGCUGGGGCUGGGGUUGUGCCAGACGUGCCAGGGCACUGCUACCCUCAGCUGUUCUGUGAUGUUGUAAUGGCUAAAUCAGUUGUAAGCAACUGCUAACAUUUAACCAUUCAUGUGAAAUGAGUGUGGGUCUCCAUCCCACUACCACUGCCAGUUUACCACCUCCCAGAUGGUACCAUCAGUGCUGCUUACAGUUGGCCAACAGCUGUUGCUGAGGUUGCCUUUCUGAUCUUGGAAGAGGUCUAGGCUGCAUGAAUUUUGCACUGUCCUCCAAUUUUACAUACUCCCAAGUGCCCUGUUUUGGCUGGAAAACCUGAUGGUCUAGCCCUUCUGAUGGCAACCCUGUGUGUUACAAGGGGAGGGAGAAAAGGGUUUGCAACCACAUGAUGAGAGCUGAGGGAAUGAUGAGUGGAAAAUCAGUUUAAUUGUCAUUAUUCUUUUUUAUUUGUCUUCUUGGAAAUAAGACAAAUGCUGUCCUUUCCCCUUUUUUCUUUUGGCUAAUAUUAGGCAUAUAAUACAGGCUGAAUACAUAAUUUUAUAAAGACUCAACACUGCUUGAUUAGUGUUAUUUGGAUCACAUUUUGAGGUUAUUAUCACAAAAUGGACUGGUUUUUCUGUGUAUUAAUUUUAAUGAUGAUGUUUUCUCUUGUGUAACUUCAACUAAAGAGAAAGGCAUCCUAAUGUUACCAUCUACGGAGAAAAGAAUCGUACAAAAGUUGGCUAAUGGAACAUUUCACUCCACCUAUUAACUCAAAAAAUAGAAGUCACAUGUUUCCAUUUACAAGUAUUUUAGUGAAAAGGCAUUAAGUGAAACAUUUUGUCAUCAAACAAUGUAGCUGAGCAUGUACCUUCUCAUGGCGUGGUGGGCCUCAGAUGUUUAUCAUUUCAUAGAAUCAUAGAAUAAUUUCAGUUGGAAGGAACCCUCAAAGGUCAUCUAGCUCAACUCCCCUGCAAAGAACAGGGAUACCUACAACUAGAUCAGAUUUGCUCAGAGUCCUGUCCAGCCUGACCUUGAAUGUCUUCAGGGACCGGGCAUCCACCACCUUUCUGGGCAAUCUGCCCUAGUGCCUCACCACUAGUAUUGUAAAAAUCUUCUUCCUUAUAUCCAAUCUAAAUCUCCCUUCUUUUAGUUUGAAACCAUUUCUCCUUGUCCUGUCACAGCAGUCCCUGUUUAAAGAGUCUGUCCCCUUCCUUAUAGCCCCUUUUUGAUACAGAAAAGCCACUCUCAGAUCUCUUGGAUUCAGAUCUCUUUUCAUCCCUUGGGCCAUUUUUGUGGCCCACCUCUGGACAUGCUCCAACAGGUCCAUCUCUCUCAUGAGGAUUUCUGUACUGAGGACUGCACAUCUAGAUGCAGUACUCCAGGUGAGGCUUCACCAGCUUCAGUAGAGGCUUCAGUAGAGAGGCAGGAUCACCUCCCUCCCCCUGGUGGCCAUACUUCUUUUGAUGCAGUUCAGGAUACAGUUGGCUUACUGGGCUACAAUGGCACACUGCUGGCUCAUGUCCAUCUGGUCAUCCCCAAGUUCUUUUCAUUUUGUAUUGUUUAGAAAUACAGUGAUAUAAAUUUGGGUCAUAGAAGGGCUCUGAGUGUUUGGAAGAGUUACCUUUGGACCUGCACAGGGCUCCUAUGGUAAGAAGGACCCUGAAGGUUUGGCUCUGGGCAGCUGGGUUUCUGCUUCAUGCUGUGGUUAAUUACAACAUGUCCUCAUGUGCUCCCGGGGGUGUGCAGAGCCAGGAGCUCAGAUUUCCUCCCCAAACACCUCUUUGUGGUGCUACUGCCAGAACUCCCUGCAGCUCAAUGUUCAUUCUGAGAAAAGGCUCUGCAGCAUGAUGAAGGGCUUUGCGGAAAAUGAAUGUCAUCAUUAGUGACUCCAGGACUGCAUUUUGGCUCAGAAUUGUGCAAUUCUAUUUCAAGGUUAACAGCUAACUUAAUCUGGGUGGAUGUUUGUCCUCAGAACAGCUAGUUUCUCCUCAAAAUAAUCUCUCCAUUCUUUUCCAUCCUGAGAAACACCACUCAGGUCCCCAGGUGUGAGAGCUGACACGGAAAGGUUGUUCAACAAAUUACAUUUGGCUGAUCUGAAAUUCCAAAAUAAGGCAAAUAGUGCAGUAGGUCUGAGCAGAGGUCAGGCAUCAGCUUCCUCUAGUGCGUAUAUAAAGAGCAGCUUGUGUUCCUCACAGCCAGUGAGAAUCCUGCUCUGAGCAUGUCACAGGAGGAAUUCACAAAAUGACAGUGCUUUCCCAGGCCUUUACUCAAAUUUAACCUUUGGAAAUUUUUUUCCCUAUUUUGUUCCUCACGUCACAAUGUGAAAUUAUAAUACAACUUACACCUUAAAUAAAUAUAUGUGUAAAAUCUCAAAAAGCAGUGCAUAUGUGCAAGGUAGAUCUUUUUUGUGUUUUUGUUGUUGUUUUCCCUUGAUUCAUACCUUAAAAGGUUUCCUUUGUGAACAGCUUAGGAGUUUUAAACUGGAAGGCCAGCUUACAACCAAACUGUGAAAUAUAUGCAGCAUAGAUGUAUAUUCACCUUCAUGGCUAUUUCACAAGGUGGAGGCUGUGUCCCUUUCUGACAGCUUGGUAGAAAGCAUAUCCUUCAUGUGGAAGUUUGAUGGUGAUAGAAUUGAUGAAUGUUUCCACUGAUCCUGAAGAUGGGUUGCAGGCUCAGAUGCAAUGGGGUUAUGUUCAGUGCUAAAUUCCCAUUGGGAGGGCUGGGAAGGGUUUCUGCAGUCUCUUUCUCCAUCCCAAUCAGGAUCACCUGUACCUGGUGUGUUCUUGGUUCAUCUGGCUUUCGUCUAAACUGUCUGUUGGGCUGAAAAAAGUUUAUGGGGCAAUUUAUCGCAUGGGUAGUUACCCAUUCUAUUAAAUAGCCUGAGUCAUUGCUGUUGAAGUGACAACCCAUCUUGUUGUGUCCCACAUGAGCUUAAUCCCAUUCCUUUUGGCAGUGAGCUUUUACAGGCAGUCAUCCACCCCUCCACCUCCUCUACUUGAUUCGAUGAUUCUGUAAGACUGGAGCAUUGGAAUGGGCUGCCCAGGGAGGUGGUGGAGUCACUGUCCUUGGAGAUGUUCAAGAAAAGGAUAAGUGUGGUACUGAGGAACAUGGUUAGUGGGUAUGGUGGUGAUGAGUCAGCAGUUGGACUAGAUGAUAUUAGAGGUCCAUUACAACCUUAUUGAUUAUAUGAUUCUAUUCUAUGCUUGGGGCUUUGAACCCCUCUGAAGUUCCUGCAGGUUUCACAUGUUCUUUGUCAGUACUUAGGACUGCAGCCUCCAAACAGCCUAACCAGGGAAACAACACUGCAAAACAAAUCCCAGCUUGUCCACUGCAGGUGCAAGGCUGACACAUCCCCAUCUCUUAAUGCUAUGGACUGAGCCAAAGAAGCUCCAGGGUGCCAAUACCUAAGGAAGGUCUGCAGGUGUUGUACUGAGAUGGAAAUGCCCUGUGCAUCCAAAGGUGAGAGCCACACAUCCCACUGGUCCCCUGAAGGAAGAAGCAGUUACUCCUGAGCCUUGCAUUGUCUCCCAAGUUCUCUCUACAACGCAGAACAUUGACAUCUUUCCAAAACACAGCAGAAAAAAAUGGAUAUUAAAACAGGUAUUUUAAAAGCAAUCUUACUCUUUAUUUUUUGGUGGAGUUCUAGUUACAUGCUACUCUUAGAUGCGAUCCAUUUUCUAAUAGGUCAAAAGUCUCAUGGGAAUCAGGCAAGAAACUGUGACAAGAACUAAAAUUAUCUCUACUGCUCCCUUGCACAGAUGGUGCUUUUCUGAAGCUGAGUGGGGUGAAACUGGUGAACACUGUGGGUGCAAGCUGAGGCUAUUCUGGCAAGAACCCCUGCAGAGUUUUGCUAUAGGCAGCUUCUGAUCACAGGGGUUCACCAAGACGUUCAUCACCAUGCCAAGGGCAGUGUCUGUAGGGGGGAAAUGGAAAGAAGCUUGGAACUCUUAAAUAGUUUCAGCACAAAAAAAGCUUCUACUGACAGCUGCUGAAACACAGUCUUUCAAACACAGCGAUGAACUUGAGUGUCUAGGAUUUUAAGCUAAUUAAAAUAGAACUGGAUGGAAUUAAUAUAAACAUAGCUUCAAACCAGGCCAAGGAAAACAAAACCCCAUGCAGGCUGACCUGAUGAAGAUUGUGGAAUACAGGUGCCAUUCAAUUUUCUGGAAUAGCAUAUUAUUUUUUAUUCUGAUGUUGAUAGGAAAAUAAUUUACAGACUCUCUCAGUAGGUUAUGUUGGAUUUCAUUCCGGUGUCUCCUUUUGCAAUAAUGCUAAUGGCAAAAGAAAUGCACAUUGAUAUUGUUUUAGCUGCAGCAGAAAUGCCAGGGAACUCAGAUCUGUGCUAUCACCUCGUCAGUGGGCAAAUUACUAAAUCGGAAUUUUAUGAAAUUACUCAAUAUUUGUGCAGACAGCUUCCAGGAAAAAGCACUUGUGUCUAUUUAGCUCUAGUGUGUAACAGAUGGGUAGAGACAAGUUAUUUCUUUGUAGCCAGACUCAUACUGACAUUUUAAGACAGCUUUCCUUAGGUGCUCAUUAGUUCUUGUAAGCCAGAUAUUAAAUCUUACCUUAGAGCAAAAUUCAGUCAUAUAAAAGGCCUUCAAGCAAUGUUGUAGUGUGUUACUUGCAAGAAAAUUAAAUGUAACCCAUCCUUUCAAAAUUGUAUUUCAUUUUAGCUUACAGCAUUUAGAUGUUAGAAGUCAGUUAUUUAUCUAUUAACUUUAAGCUGUUUAGGAACUUUAAGCUGUUCAAGGAAUUGUUGACCAAGAUCUCCUAGGACGCUGUCCUUAAAGACAAAGAUGCUGAGGAAAACUGGCUACUCUUCAAGGGUGCCUUUCUGAGAUCACAAGAGCUCUCCAUCCGUCUGAAUAAGAAAGCAGGAAGACAGGGCAGGAAACCAGCAUGGCUCAGCAAGGACCUGCUGGGCAAACUGGGGGGAAGGAAAGGCACAUACAAACUUUGGAAACAAGGGUGUGUCACCUGGGAAGAAUACAGGGAUGCCAUUUGGACUUGCAGACAUGGGAUCAGGAAAGCCAAGGUGCAGGCAGAACUGAACUUGGUGAGGGAUGUGAAAAACAAUAUGAAGACAUUCUACAGGUACAUUGGCCAGAAGAGAGAGGCCAAAGAGAGUGUAUCCUUUGGUAAAUGUAAAAGGAGGGCUGGCUUCAACAGAUGGAGAGAAGGCUGAGGUACUGAAUAAGUUCUUUGCCUCAGUCUUCACUGGCAGCCAGGACUCUAAUAUUUCUCACAUCCCUGAACCCUGCAUCCCUAAACUUCUAGGUGGGGACCGGGUGAGUAAAUCCCCCCCCCCCCCCCACUGUAAGGACAGAGCAAGUCCGAGACCACCUCAUGAGACUGAAUGCGUACAAGUCUAUGGGGCUGGAUGGCAUGCAUGGAUGGCAGGGUUCUGAAGGAGCUGGGUGAGGUGGUUGCUGAGCUGUUCUCUAUCAUAUUUGAAAAGUUGUGGCUGUCAGGUGAGGUCCUGGAUGACUGGAGGAAGGGUUGCAUCACUCCCAUUUGUAAGAAUGGGAGCAAGGAGGACCUGGGGAACUACAGGCCGGUGAGUCUCACCUCUGUACGUGGGAAGAUCAUGGAGCAGAUCCUCCUGGACGACAUGCUUGAUUACAUGAGGAAUGAGCGUGUGAUCCGAGACAGCCAGCACGGCUUCACCAGGGGAAGGUCAUGCCUAACCAAUCUGGUGGCCUUCUAUGGUGGAGUGACGGCACUGGUAGACAAAGGGAAGGCGACUGAUGUCAUUUACCAGGACUUAAGCAAGGCUUUUGACAUGGUCCCCCACCACAUCCUUAUCUCCAAAUUGGAGGGAUGUGGAUUUGAUGGGUGGACCACCUAAUGGAUAAGGAAUAUGUUGAAAGGCCACAGACAGAGGGUGGUAAUUAAUGGUUCUAUGUCCAGGUGGAGGCCGUUAAUGAGUGGUGUCCCCCAGGGGUCUGUCUUGGGACCGGUGCUCUUUAACAUCUUCAAGAAUGACAUCGAUAAUGGAAUUGAGUGCACCCUCAGCAAGUUUGCUGAUGAUACCAAGCUGAGUGGUGUUGUCACUGUGGAAUGAAGGGAAGCCAUUCAGAGGGACCUCAACAGACUUGAAAGGUGGGCCCAGGUGAAUCUAAUGAGUUUCAACACAGCAAAGUGCAAGGUUUUUGCACUUGGGCCGGAGGAAUCCCAGGCAUAUAUACAGACUGGAAGGAGCAGUCCUUGCGAGUAGCCCUGCAGAGAAGGACGUGGGAGUCCUGGUGGAUGAAAAACUUAACAUGAGCCAGCAGGGUGCUCUUGCAGCUUGGAAAGCAAGUGGUAUCCAGGGCUCCAUCAGUGGAGGGGUGGCCAGCAGGCACAGGGAGGUGACAGGACAGCAGCCCUCUCUACUCUGCCCUUGUGAGGCCCCAUCUGGAGUACUGUGUCCAGGUUUGGAGUCCCCAGUACAAGAAAGCUGUUGGAGAUGGUCCAGAGGAGGGCCACAAAGAUGAUCAGAGGGCUGGAGCACCUCCCCUAUGAAGACAGACUGAGGGAGCUGGGCUUGUUCAGCCUGGAGAAAAGAAGGCUGCAGGGUGACCUAAUUGCAGCCUUUCAGUACCUAAUGGGAGCCUAUAAACAGGAGGGGAGUCAACUCUUUGAAAGGGUAGAUAACAGCAGGACAAGGUGAAAUGGUUUUAAGUUGAAACAGAGAAGAUUUAGGUUGGAUGUCAGGAGGAAGUUCUUUACUAUGAGUGUGGUAAGGUCUGGAACAGGCUGCCCAGAGAUGAUGUGGAUGCCCCGUCCCUGGAGGUGUUCAAGGCCAGGUUGGAUGGGGCCCUGGGCAGCCUGUUCUAGUAUUAAAUGUGGAAGUUGGAAGCCCUGCCUGUGGUGGGAGAUGUUGGAGAUUCAUGAUCCUUGAGGUCCUUUCCAACCCAGGCCAUUCUGUGAUUCUGUGAUAUUCUUCUACUGCAAUUCUUCCACAAAUCGUGGGUCAGAGCACUCUGACAGUUAUCACUGACAAAUAGGACAUCUUCUCUUCUUAUUGCUACUCCGAAGAGCAGCCUUGGGAUGGACCAACAAAGAGGAAGCAGGACAGAGUCCCUCAGGCUGAGCCUUCAAGUCAGAUUGCAAGUGAUGGAUGGCUGACAGAUGAAGCUGCAAGAGAGACUUUUCCCUGUGGGGCCACCAACAGCACAGGCAGACCCUGCAUCUUCUCCAGCCUCCAUCUACAGCUGUGUUCCACCAAAGCUGUCCAGGUCGGAACUUCUCCCUCCAUGGCAAUGCAGGUAAAGGUGGGAGAAUUCCACAACUCUCCAAACCACCCCACCACUCUGGUCUACAGCCACAUUGCACAGAGAAGUAAGGUAGGUGCUGGGAUCUAAAUAGCAUUUUCUCUUUGUGAUGCCAACCAUUUCCACUCACUUCAAGAUCUUCUCAGGCUUGGAAAUGUGUGGCUCUGUACGUGUUCCUUUCCCAUCCUUUCCAGGCCAAAAUUCCUGAUUAGCAGUGAUUGCUUACAUGAGAGUUCUAGCUUUUUAGUGGUAAAAUGCAAUUAUCUGUUGUUUCACACUUGUUUCUGAAAUGUUGUGAGCACGAGGGAAAAAAAGAGGACAACCCACUUCAGAAAUUAAUGGCAGUCAGCUAAUGUAAAUACAAUUUCCCAGCAUAUCCCUAAGCACUGCAUAUCAGACAUCAGUGAUUUCAGAUGAGUCCUUAAUCUGAAUUCAUCUUUGUUGGGGUUGGUAUGUUAACCAUACACUCUGUUGACUUUUAAUGUGUGAGAAUAACAUUUCUAGAGGUAUAUUCCACGUUCUGAUAUCAUCCUGAAAGCAAUUAUAUAGUGACUUAAACAUUCACUUAAAAGUCCUAGCUUCGUGAUAAAGAGUUUCUUGUUGGAAAAUGUUUAUGAAGUGACUCAGUACAAUUUACUAUCCAUGGAUGAACUACUUCUAACCCCCCCAGCAGCUUGCAUUUCUCACUACCACUGCACCCAACACAGCUGAGACGUUAAUGAGUGAUGAACAGCUUCUCUGUAACAUCAGUUCUGCCCCUUCUGAGUUAUGCUUUCCUUGUGGGGAGAGGUGCACCAAAGUGCUUUUGAAGUGUUGCUGCAACCUUGCAGUAGGGGAGAAUGGUUUUGAAAGCUGGUGUCACGAGUGCAGCGACUUGAUGCUGGACUCAGAUGUGAACGAUCCAAAUCGUUUAUUACAAGUUCUCACCUCGCUUAUAUACCUUCACAAGUUUUCUAGCUUUAUCAUCCACCCCUACAACUUUCCCAUCCACCUUUACAUGUCAACAGAGCAUUCUACACUCUUCAACCAUUCAUGUGGGUGCUUAUCCAAUCAGAGCCGUGAGCUAUUCUUUCUUCUUCUAGAGGUGUCCUUGGUUCUCAUGAUGUUUAUCUUGCUCCACAGCUGCUGCUUCUGAACAGUUUUUCUUGUAUUCCCACAAACAAGCAUGGUGUAGUGCACCAGACAUGUCUGUGCAAUAAAUAAAUAAAUAAAUAAACCCAGCCCAAAUAUUUAGUUUUGUUUUAUGAAAGGAUUGUGAAAGAGGAGCUCUUCUGAUCAGCAGAUAGUUUCACACACAUUUCUCAUCAGCCACAGUGGAAUGCUCAAAAUAGGAUCAAUUUUGGUGAUGUCUCACACCAGAAAAAUUCUUGCAGAAUCCUCUCACUGUUUUACCAUCAUUCUAGCCAGAUUAAACAAACCAAAUCCUCAUGGGGGUUCAACAAGCACAUUUACCCACCAGAGUCCAUGCAGGGUACCUCUCUUCUCUAAGGAGAAGGUCGAUUCUAAAAGAGAGAAGAUCCUCCAGUGGCAUCUGCUUCAUCUCCCUUCUACCCCCCUCUGUGUAUGGAAAAGAAACACAGAAUCAGCUGAAGACUGGAGGGCUCAAAUUUUAUACACAUCUCUCCAAAAUGGAGAACAAUUUCAGUGUGGGUAUUUGAGGUCAUCUUGUGUAAUUUUCUACUUGGAUAGUAUAUAAGUAUGCAUAACACUCUGCAGCUAAGCCCCCUAAGAUUGCUUUGGUCUUGAUGACCUAAGGAUGUAACUGAGACAAGAUCUGCAAGAAUGCACUUCUCUAUAAAAUAGCUUAUUCUCUCCUCACAAAUACUGCCACCUCUGUAGAAAUGUUACUAACCUCUGCUGAGCUCCAGUGAGUACUCCUGCAGAAGUACUUCCUGCCUUCUCCCUCUGACCCAGGCAGCAGGCAAGAUUCAGAAAAUGGGCUUGGUUUUAAUUUAAUUUGAUGAGAAGGAACCUUCUGUUAUGGAUAUAGCAAUAGCAGCACAAACUGUACUGUGAGCACAUCACUAUUUUCCUUUGCUUAGGGAGCUGGAUUCUGCUUUUUUUUUUUUUUUUUUUUUUUUCCCAUGAAUCUAAUCUGGAUUUGUCUUUUAAAACAGCAUAUUUCUGUCACCUGUCUCUCUUCUUUUAAUAGCCUAUCUUCGAAAGAGUGUCUGCACACACAGGAAAAAUCACUAUGCAUUUAACAUAAAUGGGACUGCAUACUACACAAACUGCUGAUACAUUUCCAGACAUAGACUGAAAAAAAAUUUAUGAUACCCCUUACACAGCUCCAUACAAAUAUUUAUGCAUAGCCUGUAUUUUACAAACCCUUAUCCUUGUGCUGCAGGUCCUUCCAAGCCACGUGAAGUUAAUGUGGUGUCAGACAUGUCUGUGCUCAGGGCAUAAGAAGCCUUUGUGGACUCGUCUCCAGGAGGAGCAGCCCUACCCCAUGGGGUCUGCCUGCCAUGAAGCCUCCCUGUUUUCUCUGCAAUAAUUGUAACUGGACCCUUUUCUAUGUGAGCUGCUUAUCUUCCAUCUGAGGCCCAUUAGGCAGCAUACACAGAGAAUGUGUGAAGUCGGUGCUUGGCCGCCUUACUGCUUCUCGUUUUGGUGUGUGUAGAUGAGGCGAAGGCAGUUUCUGAAUUUCUGCCCCUCAGUGGGCUACAGAAGGGGAGCAGUGAGUCCCUGGGCUACUCCUGCACUGGCAACGUUUAGCAAGGGUCAGUGCCAAUUUGUGGUCAUGCCUUCGUGUCCUGUGCUUGUUGGGUUUUAUUAAUCAGCACUUUGAAAAGGCAGCAGUGGGGUUAUAGAACAUUACUGAAUUCUCGUGGAGGUAUUCAUUUAUCAUUGGCAAGCUUGAUGUUUCACAUAACUGUUACUUCAUCAUAUUCUGUGGUUGGACUUGAUGAUCUUUAAGGUCUUUUCCAACCUGAGCUAUUCUAUGAUUCUAUUAUUCUAUAUAGCAUUUAGUUAAAUGUGUUUUAAAAACCAGCCAUGGAUCCCAUGUUACCAGUGGUAUAAUAUAGAUCCAUGCCUGUCCAAGCAAGCAGCCCACUGCGUGAGUCCAGUGACGAGACAUUUAUGUGCACAGGGUACCUGCUGGGCCAAAGCCAGCAUUUAGGUGCCACUUUCCACCAAGUCUAGGGAAUUUCUCAGUUGCCCUUUUCAGCAAUGUUUUUACAGUCUUUUGUAUGGUAGCAACAGCAUUAAAGGGUUGCUAAGUGCGGGGGGAGGAGAACAGAAGGGUGGAAGUGACUACUUGCAGCUCUCCAUGCCUCUUCCUGGGAUCCAGAGGAACCAGCAGUGCUGCUCACAUUCACACAUGUGCCACCACACGUCUACAACCACACAUCCUCAAGUUAAGGACAGACACUGAAUUCCUUUCCAGUUCAAGCACUGUCAGGUAAAAAAUUGAGCUUUAUGUAUUUGAAUCAUGGACUCAUUUAGGUUGGAAAAGGACUACUAAAAGUCCACCACUAAACCAUGGUCCUAAGCACAACAUUCAUACUUGUCUUAAAUAUCUCCAAGGAUAGGGACUUCCCUGUGCCGCCUUUCUCAAUGCAUAACCACAUUGUGCAGAAAGGAAGAUCCUUCCUUUUUCCUAAAGAAGUUCUCUUGCCCCAGGAUUUCAUCCCAGCACUUGGCUCUUGUGGAGACAGCAGGAAAUGUUCACCGCAUUCUUUAAGGGGGAAACUGAUGACAGUGUUAUUCUCUGUGCACCACAACUCAUGUUUCUGGGUACUGCUAUUCUCAAAACUCUUCAUGCCAGUAAGAGCAUAGGAGCAUGUUUUAUUUCCUUGAUGAGCAAAUGCAACCCUUUGAGCUGGGAAUCUCAAAGGUAGCUCCACAAGAACAAGGCCUUGCUGAAUACUAAUGAAGUAUUUGCCAAAGUACAUGCAAUCCAUGAGCUGUGAUUUACCACUGGUCACUUUGAGAUAGUUUAUAACGAGAUAAAUGAGAAAAAUAAUGUCUCCUUUAAUAAGGUAUAGUGCAGAAAACUAUUUAAGCUGAAAAGAGAUUGGGUUUGCUGAUUGUGUACUGCAUGCAGCCUCUUGAAAACUGGGCUUUCUGUCCCGCAGGGCAUUCCAAUGCAACACUUGGUUUCAUCUGUAAUUACAAUGAACUUUCUAAAUGUCCAUUUCCCACAGAGUCGAAAAAUUUGAAGAAAAACAUGAUUAAAAAAUGGUCAGGAAUGACCUAUGACAUUGUCACUGUCUGGCCCUGCUAUGGCUUCACGUGUAAAUUCGGUUGCACAUGUGGUCACUAUCUCUAUUGCAGGACCCACAGUAAGCAGGUAAAUGCUGUCAACUGCCACAUCUAUAUCAAACUGUGUUUUUGGACAAGUACUGGAGGGCACGACAUCUGAGGUUCAUUUGCUAUGCUCCCUUUUCAGCCACAAAGUGAUUGAUGACUUUAGUGUUUACCUUUAUACAGUGAGGAGUAGGAGUUAUGUUGGCUAUACUGUUACUUCGCAGUCUUAAUGGAACCAUACUCACAAUUAAUAAGGAAUAACUACCUUGCACUUUGGUCACAGACUGAAAUGGGAGAUUUUGGUAGCAGCAACCAAAGAAAAUGUUGGCAGUGAAUGCUGCCUUUGGACUACUUCUGCCCAAUCCAGGCUACUGUGAAUAGAUUUUUUCAAUAGCUAGAGCAUUAAAAUAUUCAAAGCAAUGGCAAUAUAUUUUAUUAAAAACAGUGCAUUGCUUGGUAGGGCAGAAGGAAAUAAUGGCUCAGGGGUCUGGGAAUGGAAGAUGGAACCAUUUACAUCUAAGUCACCCUUUCACAUCUAGCCAAGGUCAGCAGUAAACAAGAAUUGUAUCGUUACCAGCUGGUGGCCCACAGAAUGAGAAAUAAAUUGAUAGUGUGAGUCCAGUUUCCAUGAAAUGAGGCAAAUACUGCAAAACCAGAACCAGAAGUGGAACUAACUGACACUGCUGCUGGCCCUACCUGGGUGCUGAGGAUAGAGUGGUGGAAACCUGACCAUGUCCCAGUAAGACAGGUGGUCCCAACAGGACUGUGGCAGAGGAACAUGCACGGUCCCUUUGCUGCCUGGUGGGCAAGGCAUCCUGCAUCCUGCAGACCCCAGGCUGCGACAUGGAGGGCCGCUUGCCUCCACCUCCCCUGGGCAUUGCACAUACCCAGACACCCAUGUCUGGCUGAUACUCAUGUUGUACAAGCAACAGCUUCUUAGUCCACCUUCCUUUAGUUAGAUGUCCUAUUGAAAUGAGAAAGCUUUAAAGUAUGAUGUGUGAGCUUGGGCUGAGGUAGCAGAUGAUGUUUAUUAUUAUUUUUAUUGGCUUCUUCUGGAUUUUCUGAUGUGAUUAAUUUAUCUAGCCAUAAUAUUUUAAAAGCACAAUCAAAUUUCAUUUUAAUUUGAAGCCAAAAUGCUCAGACUCAUAAUAUUUGAAGCUCAAAAAAUGAUGACUCUUUUUUAAAAUACCACAAGGGAUAUAUCAAUUGAGCUUAAUUACAUCAAAGAACAAUCCCAUAAGAGAGAGGGGAAAAAAAAAAAAAAAAAAAGAAGAAGGAUCUGCCAGAAAUAAAAAGGCUGCAUGGGUCAGUGGUCUCUUGAUUGUAAGGUAUGUGUUACAAUACACAUGUGUAUGUAAACAUAUACAUGCUUGUACAUAAUCAUAUAUAAACCAGCAUACUUUAACACUUAGCUCCACAAAAUGAUCUUUUCAUAGGUAUUAGGAGAGCAUGAGGUGCUCUACAAAAGGAAUUGUGCUUGCUUGUUUUUACUUUUCUCAUAUGACAGGCCAAAUAUUGCCUUUCCUGAUGCUAAUAUCUGGAAAUCUGUUACACAAGUACGCUAGGGGGAAAAAAUUAAUAAAUGGGACUCAUUAAAGGUAUUGCCAGAGAAAACUUACUAGAUUUGGCCAGGACACUGAUUUAAUCAACAUUUUUUCUUAUUGAAAGCAAAUGUUCAAGUGUGGUGAAUUUGAAGUGGCUAACUGAGGAGUUUCAGAGCGGAAAAUAGAUCUGCAUAAACCUGCAUAUAUACACUAAAUCCUAAAUGGAAGAUAGCUCUGUCUGCAUAUUCUGGAGAAGAUCCUGGAGAAAGUAGAAAUAAGGAAAAAAGACAGAAUUAAAUGUUGAUGCCUCCAGAACGAUGCUCUCUGAAGAAUCAUAGAAUUGUUGAUGUUGGAAAAGGCCUCUGAGGUUGUCUAGUGCAACCAUCCACCUACGACUAAUAUUGUCCACUAAACCCUGUCCCUAAGUGAUGCAUCUACCCUUUCCUUACACACCUCUAGGGACGGUGACUCCAGCACUUUCCUGGGCAGCCUAUCCCAGUGCACUGCCACUCUUUCUGAGAAGAAAUUCUUACUAAUACCCAACCUGAAUGAAACAGCAGCUUCACCUUUUUGUUUUAUGGGCAGUUCUAUGGAAGUCUGGCUAAAUAGCAUGGAUGAAGCACCUUCUUCUAAUGCAUCAGUGCAGAAUGAAGUGAACACAGGUAGCCCAGUACAAGGCAGAGCUAAAUGAAUUCCUUGCCUCUCUGUGAGUGCAAUCUGCACCUUGAGUCAGCUGUGCCACCCUGUUACAAAGACUUUGUUGUAGUACAGGAGUCUUAAAAAUAGCCUUCACCUCCUGAACCCCCUUCUAGAAAUGCUCCUCCACUCAGCCACAAGCUGAAGCUAAUUUUCACACAUCUGCUGUAAUUUAAACCAUCUGUGUGGCUGCAAGUUAAGGACAGAGAAUUUGUGGCCCAUAUUCUUCCCAUCUGACACUGGGAAGCUUUUGUGUGCAUUGUCCAUAUGCCUGCAUUAGCUCUGUGGGUUUGGGUCCAGAUAGCCACACUAUUUCUCUUUCAAAAACACUGUUUUUUAAGAAUCCCUCAGUGAGGAAUACUCAUUACCAAGGUGCUUAGGAAGGAGCAAGUGGUGCCAAGCUGGCUCUAGCAGGGUUGCUGGCUACUGUGCACAAUUAGUUGUUAGGCACUGAAGAGCCCUGUCGCAGCUCUUGAUUACCUAGUGUGUUUUGAAAAAUCUCCUCAGCUCAUACCAGCUUUCACUCACUGUAGGUAAUUAAGUUAGAAAAAUAAACACAAGCAGGGCUGCUCUGGCUGCAAGGACUGCUGUGCUCAAUAUAAGCCCUCAGCUGCACAGAGCCAGAGGGAGCUGCUAACAGCACUGACAGCUCAGGGAAGUGAUUUAUGAAGCUUUUCUUUUGCGAAAAGUUGGCAUCUAGACAAUCUGUGCCCCUCCCGCUGCCUGCGUGCUCUUCUGGCAUGUGUAAAGCCCAAGCAUAUUCCAUAAACAGACCAUUAAGCCCAGAAACUCUUCUUAAAACAUAUGAUUAGAAACCAAAACAGCUCAAUCCACAUCCAUGUGAUAUUUGUAUGAAGGAUUACAAAAUGGCAGCAGAAUGACAAGACAUACCAUACUGCCCAGUACCAGAGUAACCAUUUGUCUACUGGGAUAAAAACCAGCGCUGAAGUUCUCCAGUGCUGAAUGUGUAUUGCUGAGCUGAAUGUGUAUUGCUGAUCUUGAGAAAUGUUCUCCUUUAUUGCAGCGUACUCUGCUCCCACUGCUGGUUUAAUCCCAAGGAGCUCCUGCUUUUGAUCUCCAUGUGCAUCUGUGGGCAUAGACUGAGUGCCCAGAUAACUCUGGGAAUGUGGGGAAAGAUGUCCCAUCAGACAGGGCCACACCAACAGAGCCUCACAGGCCCAGGCCUUGACAAAGAACACUGCACAAGCAUGUUUGUGAUGCUUCAAAGAGACAUAGAAUCAUAGAAUGGCCUGGGUUGAAAGGGAUCACAAUGAUCAUGUAGUUUCAACACCCCUGCUAUGUCCAGGGUCACCAACCACUAGACCAGGCUGCCCAGAGACACAUCCAGUCCGGCCUUUAAUGCCUCCAGGGAUGGGGCAUCCACAACCUCCUUGGGCAACCUGUUCCAGUGUGUCACCACCCUCUGAGUGAAAAACUUCCUCCUAAUAUCUAACCUAAACCUCCCCUGUCUCAGUUUAAAAUCAUUCCCCCUUGUCCUGUCACUAUCCACCCACGUAAACAGUCAUUCCCCCUCCUGUUUAUACGCUCCCUUCAAGUAUUGGAAGGCCACAAUGAGGUCUCCCUGGAACCUUCUUUUCUCUAAGCUAAACAAGCCCAGUUCCCUCAACCUUUCUUCAUAGAAGAGGUGCUCCAGCCCUCUAAUCAUCUUAGUGGCCCUCCUCUGGACCCACUCCAAGAGUUCCACAUCCUUCCUGUACUGGGGGCUCCAGGCCUGGACACAGUACUCCAGAUGGGGCCUCACAAGAGCUGAGUAGAGGGGCACAAUCACCUCCCUCCCCCUGCUGGCCACUCCUUUUUUAGUGCAGCCCAGGAUAUAGUUGGCCUUUCAGGCUGCAACCGCACAUUGCUGGCUCAAGUGUAGCUUCUCGUCCAUCAGGACCCCCAAGUCCUUCUCUGCAGGGCUGCUCUCAAGGAGAUCUUCCCCCAGUCUGUAUAAAUACCUGGGAUUGCCCCGACCCAAGUGCAGAACUUUGGCCUUAUUGAACCUCAUUAGGUUCUGAUGGGCCCACUUUUCCAGCCUGUCCAGGUUCCUCUGGAUGUUCCCUUCCUUCCAAUGUAUCGACUGCUCCACUCAGCUUGGUGUCACCUGCAAACUUGCUGAGGGUGCACUCAAUAUCAUCAUCUGUGUCAUUGAUGAAGGUGUUGAAGAGCACCGGUCACAAGACUGACCCCUAUGGGACACCACUUGUGACCAGCCUCCACCCUGACACAGAACCAUUAAUCUCGACCCUUUGGCUUUGUCCAGCCAACCAAUUCUUAAUCCAUCGAACAGUCCAUCCUUCAAAUCCAUGCCUCUCCAAUUUAGAGAGAAGGAUGUGGUGAGGGACCAUGUCAAAAGCUUUGCAGAAGUCCAGGUAGAUGACGUCCGUUGCCCUUCCCCUGUCCACCAAUGCCGUCACCCCAUCGUAGAACACCACCAGACUGGGCAGGCAAGAUGAAGGUGAAGCCAUACUAGCUGUCUCAAAUGACCUCUUUGUCUCGUUUGUGCCUUAACAUUGCUUCUAGGAUUGCUCCUUGAUCUUCCCAGGCACAGAGGUGAGGCUCACCAGCUGGUAGUUCCCUGGGUCCUCCUUUCUCCCUUUCUUAAAAACAGGAGUAAAUGUUUCCCUUUAUCCAUUCACCAGGGACUUCACCAGACAGCCAUGAUUUUUCAAAUAUGAUAGAGAGCAGCUCAGCAACCACAUCAGCCAUCUCUUUCAGAACCCUAGGAUGGAUAUCAUCCAGCCCCAUGUAGUUAUAUAUAUUCAAAUUCAUGAGGAGGUCUUGGACUUGUUCCACUGUUACAGUGGGACAGAAACCACUCUCCAAACCCUCACCUAGAGACUCAGGGUCCUGGUAGACAUGGAAAGUCUAACCACCCGUGAAGGCUGUGGCAAAGCACUCACUGAGUACCUCAGCUUUUUCUAUGUCUGAGGAAGCCAGCUCCCCAUUACCUUUCAUCAGAGGGGGAAACGAAGGCCAUCCUUGGCCUGCCUCCUCCUGCCUAUGUACCAGUAGAACCCCUUCUUGUUAUCUUUCACAUCCCUCACCAAGUUCAGUUCCAUCUGUGCCUUGGCUUUCCUAAUCCUAUAUCUAUGCACACGGACAACAGUCCUGUAUUUGUCCCAGGCUACACAACCCUGCUUUCACUUCCUGUACAUUUCCCUCUUUUUCCUCAGUUUAAGCUGCAGGUCCUUGCACCUGCCUCCCCUGCUCAACUUCUUCUGGGGGAUGGAGAGCCAUUGUGCUCUCAGAAGGGUGUCCUUAAAGAGCUGCCAGCUCUGUUCUGUACCUUUAGCUAUGUACCCUUAAGGACAGUUUCUCAGGGUAUUCCACUCGGCAAUUCCUUGAGCAGCCGGAAGUUUGGUCUCCUGAGGCACAGGGUCCUGACUCCGCUUUUUGUCAGGCCCACAUUCUUCAAGAUCACAAACUCCACCAUGUCAUGGUCACUACAGCCCAGGCUGCCUUCAAUCUUAACCUCUUUAACGCUCUCCUCUGCAUUGGUGAGCACUAGGUCCAGUAAGGCUUCACCUCGAGUUAGUUCAUCUAUUACCUGGGCCAGGAAGUUAUCCUCAGAAGACUCCAGGAAUCUCCUGGAUUGUCCGCCACCCACCAUGCUGCUAUCCCAGCAGAUAUCCGGGUGGUUGAAAUCUCCCAUCAGGACAAGAGCCUGCAAGCACAACACCUCCUCCAGCCAAAACAAGAAGGUCUCGUCAACAGGCAACCCCUGAUCAGGUGGUCUGUAGCAGUCCCCAUCCACUAGAUGCCCUUUACUGGACUGAUGCUUGAUUUUAAGCUCUCAACCUGAGGCUAUUCCUCAGACACAGCUCUUAGCAAUCUACACACUUUCUAACAUAGAGGGCAACUCUCCCACCCCUCCUACCCCGUCUAUCCCUUCUGAAAAGCCUGUAGUCCUCAAUAAGAGUAUUCCAAUCAUGGGAUUCAUCCCACCAUGUUUCCAUGAUAGCAAUUAGGUCAUACUUUCCCAAUUGCACCACGGUUUCUAACUCCUCCUGUUUAUUUCCCACGCUGUGUGCACUGGUCUAGAGGCACUUCAGCUUAGCUAUUGGCCUUGCUGCCUUCUCAAAGGAUCCCUCCCUAAUACCUCCAGGACAAGUCUGGGGUUUUCCCUUACUGCCUCCCAAGGUGACAGCGUUCCUACGCACUUCUCUUGUCACCCAGUGCACCCCUGUCCCCCAUCAUAUCUAGUUUAAAGCCCUGCUAGCCAGCCCAGCCAGAUUGCUCCCAAGCAUAUUUGUGGUCCUACUAGUCAGUUGUCUCCUGUCCACCGUCAGUAUUCCCCCUUUCUCAAGGCUGCAUCCCAAACCAUAGUACCCAAAGUCCUGAGUGCGACAGCAUUUGCAAAGCCAUUCAUUCAGCAUGUCCACCCUCGUCCUUUUGUGUGGAUCCCAGUCACCAACUGAGAGGACAGAGGAGAACACAACUUGUGCUCCUGAUCUCUUCAGCAGCCUUGAAGUCCCUUUUGAUCACUGGAGAACUUCUUUUGCCUACCUCUUCAUUUCCAGUGUGGAAAACUGGUAAUGGGUAAUAAUCAGAGGUCUUAACCAGGCAAGUGAUGUUCCUAGCAACAUCUCUCACCUGAGCUCCAGGCAGGCAACACACCUCCCUGUGGGACGGGUCUGAGCAGCACAUUGGGCCCUCGGUUCCCCUCAGAAGGGAGCCCCCUAUGAUGAGAGCCCUUCUUUUUUUUUCCUGACUGCAAAACAACAGGGUCAAUCAACUCUUUUUUAAAUAAUCAGAAGUUUAAAGUUAAGAAAAGUACCAGUAAUGUACUGCUGGUUUCACAGAGAAGAUGCAGUUCUCUUUGUGGUCAAAAGUAAGAGAGCAAUAAGCUUUAUAAGAAAUAAGUUGUCUUGUGAGAACCACUGCAAGGGCAGUUGAGAACAAGUGCUAUAUUCAUCUCUCAAGUUUUCAAGGCUGCUCAUAAUUUGGAUGAAAAGCAGUAACAGGGAUUUAAGGCAGAUUAAGAACGGGCUAAUGUGUUUAACCUACAGAUAACUCAAUCAAAGCUUUCCAGAUCCUGCUAUAAUGGUAUAAUGUGCUUAAUCCAUUGUGAGAGUCAUCAUCUCUGCAACCUCCUCAGAGGUGUUCCCCUAAUCAGUCCAGCUGUUUUCAUUAGGGUAAAUGGAUUUCACCAUUUCCAUCAGCAAUGAAUCUGUGCGUUUCCA
rnacentral:lncRNA from 1 species